GCCUCCCUCCACCUGCAGGCUGUCCCCAGAAACCCUGGUGCUGUGGGGCGGCCUCGUGCUCAGGGGACCUGAGUCGCGAGCCCGUGUCGCCCGGCUGGGCUGCGUCACGGCGGGGAACACGCUCUCUAUCACGGGCUCUCCGGAAAACCGCCUCUUCAGAAUGCUUAAUGGCUUUUACACUUCAGAAACACCAAACGAGGUCUCAACAGCCAUCGUCCACCGCCGUGGCUGCUCUUUUAUGGAUGCAAAGCCCUCAAUUGUGACUCUGACAACUCAAAGCGAAUGAAGUGGAGGAUGCGAUGAUGUAUAAAAAAUACUUCAUGAAGAUGGAGACAGAAAAAUGUGGAGUAUCCAUAAAAGUUUCCGUGGUCCAUUGAAAUAAACCCCCUUCGAACUCCCGUCACCGUCCACGCGGCUCUUGAAGGAGGCCAUCCUGGG